rnacentral:tRNA from 1 species
GGCGCAUUAGUGUAGAGGCCUAGCACGCCGCUCUCUCAAGGCGGAGACUCGGGUUCGAAUCCCGGACGCGCUACCA